ensembl:Mt_tRNA
GAGAUACUAGAAAAACCAUUUCAUGACUUUGUCAAAGUUAAGUUACAGGCCAAACCCUGUGUAUCUUA